UACGUAGGUGGCAAGCGUUGUCCGGAUUUACUGGGCGUAAAGAGCGCGCAGGCGGUCUUUUAAGUCGAAUGUGAAAGCCCCCGGCUCAACUGGGGAGGGUCAUUCGAUACUGAUCGACUUGAAGGCAGGAGAGGGUAGUGGAAUUCCCGGUGUAGUGGUGAAAUGCGUAGAUAUCCGGAGGAACACCAGUGGCGAAAGCGGCCACCUGGACUGUACCUGACGCUCAAACGCGAAAGCUAGGGGAGCGAACGGG
rnacentral:rRNA from 1 species